CUGGGUUGUAUUUCCCUUAUUCCAUCUUUCUGAAAGCCAGAGGAUGUGUUUUUCCUUGGAUUUGCUGUUGCAGAUUGGAUUCAGAUUCACUGCACUUCCAGGGCAAUCUGGUUUCCAUGCUGAGGCCCCAAUCCCUUGUGUUGGCUGAAAAUACCUUUAUCCUUGGGGAUCAGAGGACUAAGCCCUGAAUCCAGCCCAGCUAAGCCCAAGGCAGGGCCUGGCUCCCAGCCCCAGCAUUCUUAGUGCUGGGGUCAGCCUGCUCCCUCCCAGCCUCACAUUCCCUGGAUUUGAGCGUUCUCUGGCAUUUCUCACUGUGUUAGAUGAAGGGUUUGUGUCCUCCAGCCAAGACUGAGCCACAUUAGUCAGAAGAGUUCUUAGAAACUCCAGUUUUCAUUUACAGGAAGGUUCUGUGACUGCACUCAGUGUCACCAGGAGAGGAGCUGGGCAUCCAGGAAUGCUGAGCUCACAAUUCCCAGUGCAGGGCCACUCUGGGGCUUGGGCACUGCUCCUCUCUGUGCCAUGGCCAUGGGCACGGCACUUGGGGUGCUGCUGCUGCAGGGCAGGAGUCACAGCUCCCAUCCCACCUAUUUAUGGAUUGAGUGGGCUCCAAGGCACAAACUCCAGAUGCCCUUCAGUCCCAGCACAGCUUCCCAACAUCCCCAUGAAUCACUGGAAUGAGCCUGAGCCCCGCGAGUGCUCAGUAAUUAUUUUAUCUGCUGCUGUGUGCAGUAGCUGACUGACCAAUGCAAUUUUUUAUCCUCCCUUUUAUCAUCUCCCUUUUAUCAUCUAAUCAGUAGGAAAAUACUGAUUAUCUCCUGUCUAUCUGAAGGAUGUUGGAAAAUGGAGUUGGAGCCGUGGCUCCCACCCUGGCAGCCUGACAGAAUCAGGGAAUAUCUAGAGUUGGAGGGACACACAGGGAUCAUCCAGUCAGGCUGCUGGCCCUGCACAGACACCCCAGCAAUCCCACCCUGUGUCCCACAACCAGCUGGCUCCUGGAAUGCUGGGGCAGGGCAGGAAUCGAAAAUUUUCAACCAUCAUUUCUAACUCUUUAAACAUCACUGAAAAUCCAUUUUCCUUCUCUUGCAAACCCUGUUUUUCACACACGUCCCACCCUGAUGGAUCUUUAUCCAGAGCAGCUGCAGGAUUUGGGAAGGAAUGUUUAUCCCUUAAGGCUUCCAUGAGGACAGAUGAACGUAAAAGGAAUUCUCUCGCUUGGACUCACAGGGAAGAGCAGAACCAGAGCCAUUCCAGCCAUGAGCCGUGUGCUCUGUUCCCAGGCUCCAUGGCAAACCCACGGGCUGCUUUUGGGGAGGGAUUUCAUCCAAGCAACCAGCUCCCAGCUGAUUUCUGCAGCACCUUGGGUCAGGAAAUGGGAAGUUUGGAUUCAGAGUUUCUGGACGCUGCCAUUCGAGAUUGCACAACAAACACUUGUCUGAGGAGGGAAGUGCCCCAGGAGGUCACGUGGAGCUGCUCCUGCUUCUUUCCAGAUACUUGGCUCCUUGACCUUGGGUUUCUGUGGUCGCUUUUGGGAUGUGCUGUGCUGUCCUUGUGUUCAGGGUUUGUGUCCCUCGGGGCUGGGCUCUGUGCUGCCUGUGGUGGGGGAGAGCUCCCCUUGUCCUUCCCCCGUUCCCUGAGGGGACAGGAAUAA
ensembl:lncRNA